CCAAAAUAUUAUAUUAUAGCAAAAUGUGAAGAUUUUUAACGAUUGGUUCCUGCAGGAAGAACCAGGUGGUCAACGUGCGCUCAUAUUCGAUCAAGGAAAUCGUAUAUCUCAGGGAAUCAGUUGUGCUGAUGUGGCUGACAUAUGUGUGAAGGCAUUGCAUGAUUCGACAGCCAGAAACAAGAGCUUUGAUGUAUGUUAUGAAUACGUAGCUGAACCCGGGAAGGAGCUGUACGAGCUGGUUGCACAUUUACCUGACAAAGCAAACAACUAUUUGACACCAGCACUCUCAGUACUGGAGAAAAACACAUGAUUGUGCUCGGAGUUUGUUCAAGUUACACUCUUCAUUCAAUCUCUAACAGAAGGUAUUGCUGCGAGACUUACCAAGAUCUUUUUGACUAUGAGGAACAUCUUCUGUCUGUAUCUGUUCUCAAAUAUAUGUGUACAUAUAUAUUUAUAUAUAUGGCAAUAGUAUUUUUUUGUUUACUGAUGGCCGUGUAUAUAUUAAAUAUUAAAAGCAAGCACUGUCAUAAAGUUAUUUUGUUUAAGA